rnacentral:lncRNA from 1 species
AUGAUUGCUAAGGGCUACUAUUUAGGUCGGGGAGAGUGGGCCAAGAAGGUGGCUUGGGAUAGAUUGGGAAGACCCUCAUGUGCCGUGCCAGUAAGGGGCGACUCUGUCUUUCAGUCUGAGUUAAUUCAGAAGUUUCCAUAUUAACUGAUUCCAGAAAACAAAAAGUAUACCAAAAACACUUUGGAUGAAACUGAGAGUUAUAUGCCUUUAAAAAAAAAAUGCUUCUUUUAGGAGUGUGAUGAACACUCAAAUCUCAGUUUACUAGAAUUUGGAUUAGGUCUUGCCGAUCCAGUGUGAAUAAGGAGUUGGGUUUUUUCCACUGCUCAGGCUCCCAUGGAGAGGAUGGAUGGCACGUCGGUGAGGUCAGUGUUUGGCAGCCAGCAUGUGUUUCAGUCCCGCUGCACCCGGGCUUAAGCCGACAGCGUGCCCGCCCUCAGCUGUGCGGCUACCAGCCUGCUCAUCCGCUAAGAGGGGGCACACGUGUUGAGCCCUGGAGCCAGCCCCA